UACGGAGGGUGCAAGCGUUAUCCGGAUUUAUUGGGCGUAAAGAGCUCGUAGGCGGUUUGUCGCGUCUGCUGUGAAAACUGGGGGCUCAACCCUUAGCCUGCAGUGGGUACGGGCAGACUAGAGUGCGGUAGGGGAGAUUGGAAUUCCUGGUGUAGCGGUGAAAUGCGCAGAUAUCAGGAGGAACACCGGUGGCGAAGGCAGGUCUCUGGGCAUUAACUGACGCUGAGGAGCGAAAGCAUGGGGAGCGAACAGG
rnacentral:rRNA from 1 species